ACAGGCAAAAAUGACUAGAAAUUCUCUCUCCUCCUUAUGGGAAGAGGCAGUAUGAGUGAGACUUUGGGUAAAAGAAAAGAAAAAAGAGUGCACGAAAAACAUUGAGAAGGUGGAGACUAUCAUCAUCAUCUCUCUUUAUAUUCCUUUCUCCCUUAAAACUUUCAAACCCCCCAAAAAAUCAAAAGCAAUCAUCAUGUUUUCUGAAUCAUCACCACCAAAACCUUACUUCUUUCACCGCCGUCAUCAUUGCUCCCACAACCAAAAAUAUUUCAAAAUAUCAUCAUUACUAUCAUCACCAUAUACUCCUCGUCAGAAAAAACGUGGUCAUCAUAAUGAUGUUUAUCUUCGCGAUAAUGAUAAUGAUAAUGAUGAUGAAGACGACGAAGAAAUUAAAAUGGAGAGAGUAUAUUUAAUUAAUUGAUUUGGAUCAAUUGAAACAAAUCCAUUCUCUCUCUAAACUCACUUUUUUUUUUGCCUUUGUUGGGGAAUCAAGCUUCCUGGUCCGAUCCCUUUGCUAUUUCAAGCAAAGUUAUCACGUUUUUUACUACUAGAUCUCGCACUCGAAGAAAUAUUGCUAUUUGCAGUUCAGAGAAAAAACAAUAGAAGAGAAGUUUUGCGAAUAGCCAUCAAAAACAACUUAAUUAGGCUUGAUAUAUAGCUAUAAUUUGUAAGUUAUAGUUCUUAGUUAUAUGUUAGAGGGAGGAGAGAGACGAGCAAGAUUAAAAGAGGAAGGAGAGAAGCUAGCGAGAUUGGAAGAGAAAGGAAAGAGGAAAGCGAGAGAGGUCGAAGAGUUUGGAGAGGUGAAUUAUAUUUGUAUAUCUUCGAACUGUAUAUGUGUAUCUAUCAGAUACAUACUUGUAUACAUAGGUGUAUAGCUAAAUUACUGCUAUGUAGAGAGGAGAGAGGCAUACACAAUUAUAGCUAAAACGAGAUUGUAAAUGAUAACUAAUUCAAACUAUAAUUAUAUUACAUAACUUACUAAUUUGUUUAAUUUAUUCGCGUAAUUUUUACUCAAA